rnacentral:lncRNA from 10 species
GACACCCCCUGCUUCCUGCUGGAACUCGUCUCUCCAGGAGCUCUCCGAGUGUUUGUGCUCAAGCUCUGUUCCACUCAUAGUCCCCGUUUCUCUGGGGAUUUUGCUGACCCUUCUUCUGGAGCUUCUCUUGGCCUCCCAGGCCCUGAUCAUCAAUGUGGAAACCCCCCAGUAGAUGCGUCUUCAGGCCCAGACUUCCCUCUUUGGAGUGGCCAGACAGCAAAUGCUCAGACCCCCUCCUCCCCGUCGAACAAGCUCAGAAAUCAGUUGCCCGGGAAGGCCCUGCCUGGACUUUCUUGAAUAGCUGCAGGUCUAGGCUGGAAAGCCCCUGAGGAGGACUUAUCACAGGGACUGGGUGUGUUGUGGGAGAGAGGCAGCUGGCAGAGGCCCCACCAAAUUAUGGGUUAAAGAGCUCCAUUUGAAAGCAUUUCUGGGAAGUUGUCAAGUGGAGAUGGGGGAGGCUUAGGGAAAUCUUAGGGAUUGAAAAGAACCCUGGAGAUGAUUUCAUUCAAUGCUGUUUAUUAUUAUUAAUAACAAUGGUUUUUAAAUUCAUUUUUAACUUCUGGAGAAUCUAAGACCUAGAGGAAGAAGGUCGGUUCCCCGGGGUCAUGGGGGUUAGCAGCCGAGCUGGAUGACAAGCCAGGACUGCCAACUCCCAGUCCAGCGCUGCUUUCACAGGACACUGUCUCUGAAAAUGCUCAAAUGCUCUGGGGUAACCCUACCUUGAGAAGCCCUCUGCAUCCUGUUUCACCUCCUUGAGAAUGUGCAAAUGAAUGACACUCUUACCUUGAGGGGAAACCUCCAGUGUGUCCACUGCUAUUGACCAGGACUAUCCUCCUCUUCCCUGGAAAUAACACUGUGUGUGUCUAUGUGUUGGGGGAUGGCAGAGGUCGGGGCUGCGGGGAACAGAGAUGAUGGAGGCAUGGUCAGCUGAUUGCCAGGAUGUGAAUUUCAGGGGUUAAAGGCACUCCAUCUAACUUGGAUCAACGAUCCCAGGGCUGUUGAAGGAGAUGACAGGCCCAUGUGUGUGCCCACACUGGCUCCAAGCAGAGAGGAACCAGUUCUACCUCAAGACUCCCAGGCACCCCCGAUCUGGAAGACAGAGCUCUAUCUUGCUGCAAAGCUACAUCUGCCCACCAGAUGAGCAGUACCUGUAAAAACUUCCCACAUCAAGCCUUGUGGGGCUAAUGCCUCUUCCAGAGCCGCUGACAACAGGAAAAUGAUCCUAGCACUGCACUUCCCAAAGGACUCAGAGAUUCUUGCCCUGGAGCCAGGAAUGGGGAGUUUGAUGUUGUGUUGUCCACAGACAUUCCAGAAGGAAAGGGUUGCAGUAGGAGAAGGCCUGGACGAACAAGAGGAGGGACCAGGGAACAAAAGCAGAUUCUCAAAGAGGUCAAUAUAUAUUGGCUAAUUGCUUAAUAUUGGUAAUAGUAUUAAUAACAAAAAUCCCUACCAUUUACUGAAGGCCUUUAGCAUGCCAGGCCUCUUGCAGACAUCGCUCCAAUUCAUUCUCACAGCCUUGCAGAAUAUGUAUUACUUUCCCCAUUCUACAGAAGAAGAAACUGCUACUCCCAGAGGGUAUGCUUUCAAAGAUCACAGGGCUGCCACCAAGCCUGCUGCUUCAUGUCUGAGUGAAACAGAGCAAUCUCCCAGAUAACAGGAGACGGGUAGGUGGAAACAUUUCUAAAAUGGGGCUGAAGGAGAGCAAGUAAGCGCCAAACCUCGGUCCCAGCCCCUCUUGGAAUUGAGUUAAAGAGAAAAGAAGAGCUAAGAGCUCAGCGUUCCUGAAAGCAGCAUGGGUGUCUUUUUUAAUAAACACGCCAAAGCUUGACUCUCUG